CCUACGGGAGGCAGCAGUGGGGAAUAUUGGACAAUGGGCGCAAGCCUGAUCCAGCAAUACCGCGUGGGUGAUGAAGGUCUUCGGAUUGUAAAGCCCUUUUAGUAGAGAAGAUAAUGACGGUAUCUACAGAAAAAGCACCGGCAAACUUCGUGCCAGCAGCCGCGGUAAUACGAAGGGUGCUAGCGUUGUUCGGAAUCACUGGGCGUAAAGGGUACGUAGGCGGUUUGGUAAGUCGAUUGUGAAAGCCCCAGGCUCAACCUGGGAACUGCAAUCGAAACUACUUUACUUGAGUUUGGUAGGGGAUGGUGGAAUUCCUAGUGUAGGGGUGAAAUCCGUAGAGAUUAGGAAGAACACCAGUGGCGAAGGCGACCAUCUAUGCCAAUACUGACGCUGAGGUACGAAAGCGUGGGGAGCAAACAGGAUUAGAUACCCUGGUAGUCCACGCCCUAAACGAUGAAUGCUAGUUGUCGGGGCCUUAGGCUUCGGCGGCGAAGUUAACACGAUAAGCAUUCCGCCUGGGGAGUACGGUCGCAAGACUAAAACUCAAAGGAAUUGACG
rnacentral:rRNA from 1 species